rnacentral:rRNA from 1 species
UACGUAGGGGGCAAGCGUUGUCCGGAUUUAUUGGGCGUAAAGAGCGUGUAGGCGGCCAGAUAGGUCCGUUGUGAAAACUCGAGGCUCAACCUCGAGACGCCGAUGGAAACCAUUUGGCUAGAGUCCGGAAGAGGAGAGUGGGAAGUUCCUGGUGGUAGCGGUGAAAUGACGCAGAUAUCAGGAAGAACACCCGUGGCUAAGGCGGCUCUCUAGUACGGUACUGACGCUGAGACGCGAAGCGUGGGGAGCGAACAGG